GACGAACGCUGGCGGCGUGCUUAACACAUGCAAGUCGAACGGAAAGGCCCUGCUUUUGUGGGGUGCUCGAGUGGCGAACGGGUGAGUAACACGUGAGUAACCUGCCCUUGACUUUGGGAUAACUUCAGGAAACUGGGGCUAAUACCGGAUAGGAGCUCCUGCUGCAUGGUGGGGGUUGGAAAGUUUCGGCGGUUGGGGAUGGACUCGCGGCUUAUCAGCUUGUUGGUGGGGUAGUGGCUUACCAAGGCUUUGACGGGUAGCCGGCCUGAGAGGGUGACCGGCCACAUUGGGACUGAGAUACGGCCCAGACCCCCACGGGAGGGAGGAGUGGGGAAUAUUGCAAAAGGGGCGGAAGCCUGAUGCAGAAACGCCGGGGGGGGGAAGAGGGCCUUGGGGUUGUAAACCGCUUUCGCCGGGGACGAAGCGUGAGGGGGGGUAAUGGGUAAAGAAGCACCGGCUAACUACGU
rnacentral:rRNA from 1 species